CUCCGUUUUCUAAUUUAGAAUAAUUUAAAAUUACAGUGAAUGUGUAUUAAGCGGCUUUGGGGUUUACUUAGGCGGAAAGGGGUCUUGAAUAGAGAACCUAACUUACCUCUAAUAACAGGCGCAGGAAAAAGCAAGCAUACAACAUAUAUUGGCAAUUCACAAAGCUACGUCAGCUAAAAACACACACUUUGCCAUUUUCCACAACUUUACUGCAAAUGAUGGGAACGCAGAAUAUGAGGCCCUCCUGACACAGACAGACACCUCGAGGUUCUGGCAUGGAGGCCUGGUGGUGAAAUACAGAAGG